GUAAAACAAUCUUUGUGUUAGUGUUUUCCCACCUAAUACCCAAAGGACAACCAAAGUACUUCCCGAGAGUACUAGCGAAGUCUCCAUUCAUAAAGUAUGCUCAAUGGUUUCACUCUGAGGAAUAUUACAACAGAAGAAUUUAGAAACCAAAUUUUGUUUAAACUUGCAGAGGAUGUCAUCAAAGGGUAGUUUAUCUUUCCAAAUCUUCCACAUCAAAAAUGACAUCUUGAAAGGUUUGUAUUUAUGCCAAAUUCUCAUCAAUAAAGGAGAUUUUUUUUUUUUCUGCCUUAAAAGAGCCCAAGCAGAUGAGUUAAAAGAUUCCCAUUGCUAUUAGAGGUAAAAAUGCAUCAUUUCAGUGUUCUCUUAGUACUACCAAUUUGAGAUCGCUUGAUUUGUAGACAAAAUGUAUGGAUUAAAUAGCACUGAUUUUGUUGGGUUAGCACUGAUUUUGUAGGGUUAAAGUUCACAUUUACAACGAGUGGUUCUGCUUUUGACUCGGCUUAAUAAAUUUUUAAACAGUAGUCUUCGUUUUAGAAAAUUCACUAGGCAAAGCAUUUCUUGCCCAUCAGGCAUUAGAGUUUUUCCUAUAAGGCAUAAGUUUAUGAUAUUUUAAGAUAGUGAAACUCUUAAUUGACAAUAAAUUUUGUCUUAUAGGAAAAAGCUAGAACUUAUGUUGGCCGUGCACUCUUUGACAAGUGCAAUCAUCUAACUAAUUCACUAACAUGACACUGGAGCUAUGAAUAGAAAAGUCAUGUUUGUUAUCACGUAUGUAUGAUCAUUCAGGCUUAGGCAACAGUUCAUUGGCAAUUCAGAGACUCAAAGAAUAUAUAAAAAGUGAACGCACUGUCAAGACUAAUGGAGGCAAUGGAAGAAAUCAAGUCUGGGCAUCUUGCUAGAGGAUCGGGGAAAUACAGAGAAUUUGGGAGAAAUUGUUGGUAACGUCUUUGUCAAUGUCGAGAUCAAUAUUAAUAUCCUUGGCAGCAUCUUGGUAAAUUUAGCUCAUGUAUAUUAUAUUUAAUCCCUAUAUAAAACUUGGAAGAAGAAAAAUGCAAUGCAAGAAACAUAAUCUUCUGAAGAAAAUAUAUCAUUUGUUUAUAUUGUUAGGACCGGAAUAAUCAGGUGGCCUGCUGAAGCAAGCAAAGCAAACCUCGAAAAAUGCCAAAUAAGAAGACAUGUGAGAAAUAAACAAAAUGAGACACAAUGAUUUAACGUGAUCCGGUCAAUCGACCUACAUCCACAAAAAGAGAUGAACAAUCCAUUAUAUAAAAGAGAGUUCAAGUUAUCAAGAGAUACAACUUCAUACAAUUUUUUUAGAAUAAAAAGAGAUUCACACAAGUGACACCGCAAUACUCGUGUCUCACAAAUUCUCCCCCCUCCUAAUGAAACUCUCAAAGCCCCUAGGACUUCAUUGUGGAUACUAUCAACCUAGAAGAAAGUGUUAGGAUAUACUAUUAAGCACGCGGUUUAGUAUUAUAUUAUAUUUUCUUUUUGUAAAACUUUAAUUUCAUUAUUCAGAUUAGUAAGUGUUAAUUUAAAUAGAUCAUUUUAUUUGCAUGUGUGUCCUUUACAUAUGAAUUAGAUGAUUUUGUGUAUGGAGUUUUAUGGCUCAUGGAUGGAAGAAUAAAUUCUCGGUUCUUAUAAGUUAUAAAAUUAUGUUCGCAAUCAAAGAUGAGGUUGGUUAGACAUCUUAAUUAUUGUAACAUAAGAUUAAAUAUAAUUUAUUCUUAAUUAUGAGAAUGUUCGCAUUCCAACUUCUUGUGCUAGUACACUUUGUGUGUAUUGAACAGACCAAGGAGAGAUGAUUAUGUGUCUUCUAAAUUUUGGAAACAUCAUCUCUAAAUUAUUAAAUGUACUUGUAGUCUUAAUCUUGAUAUAAUUACUAUGAUCAAUGUAAUUUGCUUAUUAUCUUGAUCUGUCAAAAGGGUGUCUCCAUAGUUACUCAUUUGGGCCUAUAUUAUUGAGAUAUUUGUGGAUGUUUUUAUGUCAUUUUGGAUGAUUUUUAUUUUUAUGGUUUGUAAUAUUCGGGCACUCUGACGAUGCCCACAUUUCAUGGAUUAGUUGUUUGUUUCAUUUUUAAAUUUUUACUUUAUCUUUAUUUUAUUUAUGGUAACACCGGACGAGCCAUUCCUUAUAAUAGAUUGAUUGACUACAUUCUUAAGGAAAAAUUAUCGUGAUUGGGUUUUGAGAUAUGGAUGCAGGAGAAGUCUGAGUAACCAUAGCAUCAGAGUUACAAAUUCAAUGGAAGUCUAAGUACCUGUGGCAUUUUAUAUUUGGGAUCGCACGUAUACCUAUAGUGAAGUUUGGGUAGCCAUAUGGUUUUCCCUCAUGAAAGCAAAAAUGUGAGAUAAUGGUUUGAUUUGGUGCCAUAAGUAGAAAAGUAUGCAUGGUGCACAUGCGAAGAAAACACCUCCCUCUAUCAAAAAAUUUUUGAAAACUAAGGGCAUGGACAUGAAAAAAAUUUCUAACAACAUUUCACCUCUUUUUGUGACUCCAAAGCUCUUAGCUUGUAGAGGUUGAUAAGUACUCCAUUUUUGUCUCUAGUGGGAAGUGAAUUUGAGCCCCCUUGAAGAAUUUGCAUGCUAUGUGCAGUGAGCAUAUUUGUCUAAAUCUCAUGCAUACUUGCACCAUCUAGAACUUACCCCAUAAAUCUCUCAAGGCUAAUUUUAAUUAUGAUGGUUGGUAAAAUGAUCCUAGGCCAUCUUUGUGAACAUAGGAAUCCAUUUUAAUCCUAAAUAUCCUACCCAUGCAUAGAAUAAUAACCUUAGUUACCCAAUUUGAUCCUUCAACCCUUUCUUUGGAAACCACAUUACAACCCUUGAACCAUUCAAAGUUUCCCUCUCUUAAACCCUACCCUCCUUGAACAUGAAAAAUAAAAAUGAAGGCCAAAUGCGUAAGUUGGGGGUGGUAAGUUUAGAAGAGAUAACCUUGGGCCAAGGCAAUGUAAGUGAAUGCGUGUGAGCUAAGCAAUGAAAAAGUGAAAAGAAAAGAAUGAGGCAUAGAUUGUAAAAGAAAUAAGCGAAUGGAAGAUGCCUUCAAAAAGAUGGGUAAAUCAAGGUAGCUAAAAUAGGCAUGUGUAAAGCGUGAAAACAAAAGAAGUGGUCUAUGGUCAAAAGUUGGAUGAAAUAGUGUGAUAUUGAUGUUCAAGGAGGGUGUAUCCACUUUGUUCCUAAUUGAUAUACUACCUUUCUCCGAACCUAUUUUACAAACUCAAAAGCCCUUUGAGAUCUCCAACCAAAAGUAUUCAUUGUAAUGGCAAUUGAAAAUAAGGUCAAACCUAUGGUAUGGUACUUGUUAGCAUCAAGAAUUUUUGUAAGAGAGAGAGUUUCGCACUUAAAUCCCUUGUUGCAGAUUUGAUAAUUUAAGGUGUGUGGGAUUUCCCUUCUUGUAAGGAGGCAUAUAAAAAAAUUGAGGUGUGUGAUAGUGUCGUCUUCUGAAAAAUGAAGUAAAAGGGGUAUAGUAGAGUGUAGAGCAAAAGAGAGUCACUCCUAGAGUGUUAGUGAUUGUCACAUUGUUGCUCUUUAAAGUCCUUUCGUGAGAAUAGCUUUGCCAUGUUUGAAGAGAUACUUGUGGUAGCAAUAAAGUUUGAAGUCAUUGUGAACAUUGGGGUGUAUAAAUGAGCUUAUAUUUUCAUCGUCUCAUUGAGUAAAGAGGUAGUGUUGCUUGAGGAAAAGCAAAGAUUUAAGUUGGGGGUAUUGAUGAGUGGUGAAUUUACCACUCAUUUAUAUCAAAAAAUUCUUGCACACUACUAUGAUUUGAAGUUAUGAAUGAGACAAGUUUGAUUGGUGAAUGCACUAAUUUCUAUAUUUUGCAGGCAUACAUGCGAUGAGAAAGAAUGAUGUAGAUUUGAGAUAAAAAGGAACCAAAAAGAAAAAAAAAAGUGCACAAUUGGAAAACUCUGCAUAGGAUAAGGCUCAGUUACCGUGAUCACGAUCUGAGGGCCACGAUCGAGGCAAGUCAACUUUGGUCAGACUCAGCGAUGAUGAGGAUCUAAUGAUUUUUGCGGUAGUUGCGAUUGCAGACAUUCUACAAUGAUCGCGGAUUGGAGGGUUUAUGCCCAGGAGCAAUUCUGUAAUUGUACACAACCGACCCCAAAUCCCUUAUAAUAAUAAAACCCUUUCUCAUUUGGCAUUCUACACUAUGAACAAUUGAAUUUUGGAUAAUUUUUAACCCAAC
rnacentral:lncRNA from 1 species